rnacentral:rRNA from 1 species
CGCUGGCGGCGUGCCUAACACAUGCAGGUCGAACGGGAAGCCUCUUCGGAGGUGGAGAGUGGCGCACGGGUGAGUAACAGGUAGCUAACCUGCCCUCAAGACGGGGAUAACUGCUGGAAACAGGAGCUAAAACCCGUUAAGCUCACGGAAUGUAGAGGUUUGUGAGAAAAACUUUUUUGUGCUUGAGGAUGGGGCUGCAAAUCAUCAGCUAGAUGGUGGGGUAAAGGCCUACCAUGGCGACGACGAUUAGGGGACCUGAGAGGGUGACCCCCCACACUGGGACUGAGACACGGCCCAGACUUCUACGGAAGGCAGCAGUGAGGAAUAUUGCACAAUGGACGCAAGUCUGAUGCAGCGACGCCGCGUGGGUGAAGAAGGUUUUCGGAUCGUAAAGCCCUUUUCUGUGUGACGAGAGUGGACGGUAGCACAGGAAUAAGUCUCGGCUAACUACGUGCCAGCAGCCGCGGUAAGACGUAGGAGGCAAGCGUUAUCCGGAGUUACUGGGCGUAAAGCGCGUGCAGGCGGAUAAGUAAGUUACUUAUGAAAGCUCCUGGCUAAACUGGGAGAGGUUGAGUAAAACUGCUAAUCUAGAGUGGAUGAGAGGUGAAUGGAAUUCCUUGUGUAGUGGUGAAAUGCGUAGAUAUGAGGAAGAACAUCGGUGGCGGAGGCGAUUCACUGGCAUCCAACUGACGCUCA